UACGUAGGGGGCAAGCGUUGUCCGGAUUUAUUGGGCGUAAAGAGCUCGUAGGCGGACCUGCAAGUCGGGGGUGAAAGCCCGAGGCUCAACCUCGGAACUGCCUUCGAUACUGCGGGUCUCGAGUCCGGGAGAGGUGAGUGGAAUUCCUAGUGUAGAGGUGAAAUUCGUAGAUAUUAGGAAGAACACCAGUGGCGAAGGCGGCUCACUGGCCCGGUACUGACGCUGAGGCGCGAAAGCGUGGGGAGCAAACAGG
rnacentral:rRNA from 1 species